rnacentral:rRNA from 1 species
GAUGAACGCUGGCGGCGUGCCUAAUACAUGCAAGUCGAACGAAACUUCUUUAUCACCGAGUGCUUGCACUCACCGAUAAAGGGUUGAGUGGCGAACGGGUGAGUAACACGUGGGCAACCUGCCCAAAAGAGGGGGGGAACACUUGCAAACAGGUGCUAAUACCGCAUAACCAUAGUUACAGCAUGGCAACUAUUGAAAAUGUGCCUAUGCUACCGCUUUUUGAUGGGGGCGUGGUGGAUUAGCUAGUUGGUAGGGUAAAGGCGUACCGGGGCAAUGAUGCGUAGCCGAAGUCAGAGGUUGAUCGGCCACAUUGGGACUGAGACACGGACAAAACUACUACGAGAGGCAGCAGUAGGGAAUGUUACGCAAUGGGCGAAAGCCUGAUGGAGCAGCGCCGAGUGGGUGAAGAAGGUCUUCCGAUCGUAAAGCCCUGUUGUUAGAGAAGAACGUGCGUGAGAGUAACUGUUCACGUUUCGACGGUAACUAACCGGAAAGCCCCGGCUAACUACGUG